UCCUGGCUCAGGACGAACGCUGGCGGCGUGCCUAAUACAUGCAAGUCGAACGCUUCUUUUUCCACCGGAGCUUGCUCCACCGGAAAAAGAGGAGUGGCGAACGGGUGAGUAACACGUGGGUAACCUGCCCAUCAGAAGGGGAUAACACUUGGAAACAGGUGCUAAUACCGUAUAACAAUCGAAACCGCAUGGUUUUGAUUUGAAAGGCGCUUUCGGGUGUCGCUGAUGGAUGGACCCGCGGUGCAUUAGCUAGUUGGUGAGGUAACGGCUCACCAAGGCCACGAUGCAUAGCCGACCUGAGAGGGUGAUCGGCCACAUUGGGACUGAGACACGGCCCAAACUCCUACGGGAGGCAGCAGUAGGGAAUCUUCGGCAAUGGACGAAAGUCUGACCGAGCAACGCCGCGUGAGUGAAGAAGGUUUUCGGAUCGUAAAACUCUGUUGUUAGAGAAGAACAAGGAUGAGAGUAACUGUUCAUCCCUUGACGGUAUCUAACCAGAAAGCCACGGCUAACUACGUGCCAGCAGCCGCGGUAAUACGUAGGUGGCAAGCGUUGUCCGGAUUUAUUGGGCGUAAAGCGAGCGCAGGCGGUUUCUUAAGUCUGAUGUGAAAGCCCCCGGCUCAACCGGGGAGGGUCAUUGGAAACUGGGAGACUUGAGUGCAGAAGAGGAGAGUGGAAUUCCAUGUGUAGCGGUGAAAUGCGUAGAUAUAUGGAGGAACACCAGUGGCGAAGGCGGCUCUCUGGUCUGUAACUGACGCUGAGGCUCGAAGCGUGGGGAGCAACAGGAU
rnacentral:rRNA from 1 species